rnacentral:rRNA from 1 species
GACGAACGCUGGCGGCGUGCCUAAUACAUGCAAGUCGAGCGAAGUUUUUCUGGUGCUUGCACUAGAAAAACUUAGCGGCGAACGGGUGAGUAACACGUAAAGAACCUGCCUCAUAGACUGGGACAACUAUUGGAAACGAUAGCUAAUACCGGAUAACAGCAUUAACUGCAUGGUUGAUGUUUAAAAGUUGGUUUUGCUAACACUAUGAGAUGGCUUUGCGGUGCAUUAGCUAGUUGGUGGGGUAAAGGCCUACCAAGGCGACGAUGCAUAGCCGACCUGAGAGGGUGAUCGGCCACACUGGGACUGAGACACGGCCCAGACUCCUACGGGAGGCAGCAGUAGGGAAUCUUCCGCAAUGGGCGAAAGCCUGACGGAGCAACGCCUCGUGAGUGAAGAAGGAUUUCGGUUCGUAAAGCUCUGUUGUUAGGGAAGAAUGAUUGUGUAGUAACUAUACACAGUAGAGACGGUACCUAACCAGAAAGCCACGGCUAACUACGUGCCAGCAGCCGCGGUAAUACGUAGGUGGCAAUCGUUGUCCGGAAUUAUUGGGCUUAAAAGCGCGCGCAUGUGGUUUAAUAAGUCUGAUGUGAAAGCCCACGGCUCAACCGUGGAGGGUCAUUGGUAAACUGUUAAACUUUAGUGCAGGAGAGAAAAUGGGAAUUCUGAUGUAUGUGUGGAAUGUGGAGUGAUUUGGGAGGAAUGGCCAUUGUGGGAGGCGUUUUUUUGUUCUUGUACUUGCCCUUGUGGCGCUUAAUCUUGUGGAUCAUGUGUGAUGUAUUCCCCUGUUUUACAAGGGCGAAUGUCUGAUGGUGUUUGUGUUGUUUGUGUUUGGUGUGCGUUGUGGGGGAAAAGAAGAAUGAGUAGAGUUGUUCGAUUGUGUGUGUAUAUGAUUGUGUGAUGUGAAAUAUUUUGUGUGUGUGGUGUCGUGUGCUGUGUUGUGUGUCUCUGGUGUUGUUGUGUCUGUGUGAUUCUUGUGUGUAGUGAUUGUGUGCUGUGGUGUGUUGUGUUGUG